GUACAGUGAUGACAUUCUUAGGACACCUUUGGAGGUUGUGACCUAUGAAACUAAUUCUCGAACUGAGUACG
ensembl:snoRNA SNORD58 Small nucleolar RNA SNORD58